rnacentral:misc_RNA from 1 species
AAUUUAUGGACCUUAGAAUAAUUAAAUUAUAAAUGUAUAAUUACCAUGAAAUUAGUUAUGUGUGAAUUAAUAGGCAUGUAUCAGUAUGUAUAUACUUUGAUAAUGGGAAUAGGUAGGUGGAGGGACAAGAAAAUAAAAGGGCACAAUAAAUAGGUGAUGAUAUUAGAUUUAUCAAUAAAUACAAAGGAGUUGACAGGCCAGGUUUGAAAAGAUUGACCUGCUUCUCUCUUUCUCUCUCUCUAUCUGUCUCUCUCUUCUUCUUCUAUCUCCUCCUCCAGAUUAUAUCAUCACCCCAUCUCAAGAGAGAGAGAGUGCAAAAGCUCAGAUUCUACUUGUCUCAUCCCAUACAUCCCAUCUCCAAUGAAACGCACUUCUUCGUAUGAUGAUGAUCAUUGAAAGCCUACAAAAACCAAAACAAACCCACACACAACAGAGAGAAAGGGAGAAACCAAAAAG